rnacentral:rRNA from 1 species
GUCUACGGCCAUGCUACCCUGAACAAGCCCGAUCCCAUCUGAUCUCGGAAGCUAAGCAGGGUCGGACCUGUGUAGUACUUGGAUGGGAGACCACCUAGAAAGACCAGGUGCUGUAGGCG